rnacentral:misc_RNA from 1 species
CUCCUCUCGAAGGGGAGUAGUCCCCCCGGCCUCCUAGCCGGACGGCGAUGCGUCGACAUGCUGGCCCCCGGGCCCGGUGCAUCACCCGCCACGAGCACGAGCGGCGGGCGGACGAGACCUUCGGCCAGACGA